UGGGGAAUUUUGGACAAUGGGCGAAAGCCUGAUCCAGCAAUGCCGCGUGUGUGAAGAAGGCCUUCGGGUUGUAAAGCACUUUUGUCCGGAAAGAAAUCCUUGGCUCUAAUACAGUCGGGGGAUGACGGUACCGGAAGAAUAAGCACCGGCUAACUACGUGCCAGCAGCCGCGGUAAUACGUAGGGUGCAAGCGUUAAUCGGAAUUACUGGGCGUAAAGCGUGCGCAGGCGGUUUGCUAAGACCGAUGUGAAAUCCCCGGGCUCAACCUGGGAACUGCAUUGGUGACUGGCAGGCUAGAGUAUGGCAGAGGGGGGUAGAAUUCCACGUGUAGCAGUGAAAUGCGUAGAGAUGUGGAGGAAUACCGAUGGCGAAGGCAGCCCCCUGGGCCAAUACUGACGCUCAUGCACGAAAGCGUGGGGAGCAAACAGGAUUAGAUACCCCUGGUAGUCCACGCCCUAAACGAUGUCAACUAGUUGUUGGGGAUUCAUUUCCUUAGUAACGUAGCUAACGCGUGAAGUUGACCGCCUGGGGAGUAC
rnacentral:rRNA from 1 species